rnacentral:rRNA from 1 species
UGCAGUCGAGCGGACCGACGGGAGCUUGCUCCCUUAGGUCAGCGGCGGACGGGUGAGUAACACGUGGGUAACCUGCCUGUAAGACUGGGAUAACUCCGGGAAACCGGGGCUAAUACCGGAUGCUUGAUUGAACCGCAUGGUUCAAUCAUAAAAGGUGGCUUUUAGCUACCACUUGCAGAUGGACCCGCGGCGCAUUAGCUAGUUGGUGAGGUAACGGCUCACCAAGGCGACGAUGCGUAGCCGACCUGAGAGGGUGAUCGGCCACACUGGGACUGAGACACGGCCCAGACUCCUACGGGAGGCAGCAGUAGGGAAUCUUCCGCAAUGGACGAAAGUCUGACGGAGCAACGCCGCGUGAGUGAUGAAGGUUUUCGGAUCGUAAAACUCUGUUGUUAGGGAAGAACAAGUACCGUUCGAAUAGGGCGGCACCUUGACGGUACCUAACCAGAAAGCCACGGCUAACUACGUGCCAGCAGCCGCGGUAAUACGUAGGUGGCAAGCGUUGUCCGGAAUUAUUGGGCGUAAAGCGCGCGCAGGCGGUUUCUUAAGUCUGAUGUGAAAGCCCCCGGCUCAACCGGGGAGGGUCAUUGGAAACUGGGGAACUUGAGUGCAGAAGAGGAGAGUGGAAUUCCACGUGUAGCGGUGAAAUGCGUAGAGAUGUGGAGGAACACCAGUGGCGAAGGCGACUCUCUGGUCUGUAACUGACGCUGAGGCGCGAAAGCGUGGGGAGCGAACAGGAUUAGAUACCCUGGUAGUCCACGCCGUAAACGAUGAGUGCUAAGUGUUAGAGGGUUUCCGCCCUUUAGUGCUGCAGCAAACGCAUUAAGCACUCCGCCUGGGGAGUACGGUCGCAAGACUGAAACUCAAAGGAAUUGACGGGGGCCCGCACAAGCGGUGGAACAUGUGGUUUAAUUCGAAGCAACGCGAAGAACCUUACCAGGUCUUGACAUCCUCUGACAACCCUAGAGAUAGGGCUUCCCCUUCGGGGGCAGAAUGACAGGUGGUGCAUGGUUGUCGUCAGCUCGUGUCGUGAGAUGUUGGGUUAAGUCCCGCAACGAGCGCAACCNUUGAUCUUAGUUGCCAGCAUUCAGUUGGGCACUCUAAGGUGACUGCCGGUGACAAACCGGAAGAA